UACGGGGGGGGCAAGCGUUGUUCGGAAUUACUGGGCGUAAAGGGCUCGUAGGCGGCCAACUAAGUCAGACGUGAAAUCCCUCGGCUUAACCGGGGAACUGCGUCUGAUACUGGAUGGCUUGAGGUUGGGAGAGGGAUGCGGAAUUCCAGGUGUAGCGGUGAAAUGCGUAGAUAUCUGGAGGAACACCGGUGGCGAAGGCGGCAUCCUGGACCAAUUCUGACGCUGAGGAGCGAAGCCAGGGAGCGAAAACGGGG
rnacentral:rRNA from 1 species